rnacentral:rRNA from 1 species
UACGGGGGGGGGCAAGCGUUGUUCGGAAUUAUUGGGCGUAAAGAGCUCGUAGGCGGCUUGUCACGUCGGAUGUGAAAGCCCGAGGCUUAACCUCGGGUCUGCAUUCGAUACGGGCUAGCUAGAGUGUGGUAGGGGAGAUCGGAAUUCCUGGUGUAGCGGUGAAAUGCGCAGAUAUCAGGAGGAACACCGGUGGCGAAGGCGGAUCUCUGGGCCAUUACUGACGCUGAGGAGCGAAAGCGUGGGGAGCGAACAGG